UUUAUGGGAUGUUGUAAAAUCCUUACUCGGAUAACUGUGGUAAUUCUAGAGCUAAUACGUGCAACUAGUCUCCGACCCCGGCUUCGCGAGAGGUCGGGGGAAGGGCGCAUUUAUUAGACCAAAAACCGGGUGGACGUUCGGGGCAAUCUCCGCUUCGCGCGGCAGCAUUCGUCCUCGUCCAAUCCUCUUACGGUUAUGUGGUGACUCUGAAUAACUACCGCCGAGCGCUGAGGUCUUAGUACCGGCGCCGUAUCCUUCAAGUGUCUGCCUUAUCAGCUCUCGAUUGUAGGUUAUUCGCCUACAAUGGCUGUAACGGGUAACGGGGAAUCAGGGUUCGAUUCCGGAGAGGGAGCCUGAGAAACGGCUACCACAUCUAAGGAAGGCAGCAGGCACGCAAAUUACCCAAUCCCGGCUCGGGGAGGUAGUGACGAAAAAUAACGAUGCGGGACUCUUCCGAGGCCUCGCAAUCGGAAUGAGUUCAAUGUAAAAACUUGGACGAGGAUCCAUUGGAGGGCAAGUCUGGUGCCAGCAGCCGCGGUAAUUCCAGCUCCAAUAGCGUAUAUUAAAGUU
rnacentral:rRNA from 1 species